GCGGCCGCCGAGCUCUCCCCGCCCGGCCCAGCCCCUCCGCCGCAGCCGCGGGGCAGCCCCGAGCCACGGCCCCGGCUGGCGGGCGGGCUGCGGGCAGGAUCCUGGCGCUCGGGCUCUGGCAAGGGGAAAGGACAGAAACGGCGCAUCGGGAGGGACCCUGCCUCACCGCUUGUAUAUGGCAAAGUUUCUCGCCGAGCUCCUGGGCUGCACGUUGCCGAGCAAGGGCGCCUCUCCCAUGUUUGAGUCUAAAAGUCAUUCCCGAGUUGGCCUGAAAUCAAGCACCAAGCAAAAGACCACCAUUUUCAGCACAUUGGCCAGUGAGAAGUCCUUAUCUGACUGCAAAAAGAGGCUGUGUUCCCUGCCACGUGGGGUGAGCCAAUGGGCUGAAGAAGCAUGAGGAAAAGGAGACUCGGGUAUGGCAGGUGGCUGUGUGGAGAGGACACUUGGAACAGCAAUGGAAACCUUCCAUGUACAGCAGCAUAACUCCAGUUUGCUUUC
rnacentral:lncRNA from 1 species